CCUGGUGGCCUUAGAGCGUUGGUCCCACCCGAUCCCAUCUCGAACUCGGAAGUGAAACGGCGAAUCGCCGAUGGUAGUGCGGGGUCUCCCCGUGUGAGAGUAGGACACUGCCAGGC
rnacentral:rRNA from 1 species